ACGGGGACGAGCCAGAGCAUG
rnacentral:miRNA from 1 species